rnacentral:rRNA from 1 species
GAUGAACGCUGGCGGCGUGCUUAAUACAUGCAAGUCGCGCGACCACAUGAGGAGCUUGCUCCUCCGACGUUAGCGGCGGACGGGCGAGUAACUCGUGGAUAACCUACCUAUACGUCUGGAAUAACUACGGGAACCCGGGUCUAACACCGGACAAUAUAUUGCAAUGCAUGGCUUCAUAGUGAAACACGGUUUUGCUGUCACUUAUAGAUGGAUCCGCGCGGCUUUAGCUAGUUGGUAAGGUAACGGCUUACCAAGGCAACGAUGCGUAGCCGACCUGAGAGGGGGGUCAGCCACACCGGAACGGAGACGCGGUCCAGACUCCUACGGUAGGCAGCAGAGGGGAAUCUUCCGCAAUGGGCGGAAGCCAGACGUGGCAAAGCCGCGUGGGGUGUAGAGGUCUUCGGAUAGGAGUUCUCUACUAUUAUGGUGGAACAAAAAUGUAAGUAACGAGGCGCGUCUUGAAGGUACCGAAUCAAUAAGCCGCGGCUAACUACGUG